rnacentral:rRNA from 1 species
UGAGGAAUAUUGGUCAAUGGGCGAGAGCCUGAACCAGCCAAGUAGCGUGCAUGAUGACGGCCCUAUGGGUUGUAAACUGCUUUUAUAUGGGAAUAAAGUGAGGGACGUGUCCCUUAUUGCAUGUACCAUACGAAUAAGGACCGGCUAAUUCCGUGCCAGCAGCCGCGGUAAUACGGAAGGUCCAGGCGUUAUCCGGAUUUAUUGGGUUUAAAGGGAGCGUAGGCUGUUUGUUAAGCGUGUUGUGAAAUGUAAGAGCUCAACUUUUAGAUUGCAGCGCGAACUGGCAGACUUGAGUGCGCACAACGUAGGCGGAAUUCAUGGUGUAGCGGUGAAAUGCUUAGAUAUCAUGACGAACUCCGAUUGCGAAGGCAGCUUACGGGAGCGCAACUGACGCUAAAGCUCGAAGGUGCGGGUAUCGAACAGG